rnacentral:rRNA from 1 species
CCCUUAGAUGUUCUGGGCCGCACGCGCGCUACACUGAUUCAUGCAACAAGUUUUGUCCUUGGCUGAUAGGCCUGGGUAAUCUUUGAACGUGAAUCGUGAUGGGGAUAGAUGAUUGCAAUUAUUCAUCUUCAACGAGGAAUUCCUAGUAAACGCAAGUCAUCAGCUUGCAUUGAUUACGUCCCUGCCCUUUGUACACACCGCCCGUCGCACUUACCGAUUGAAUGGUCCGGUGAAAUCUUCGGAUCUGAGAGAUGUCUGAUUAAUUUCGGACGCCUUUUGGAAAAGUUGUUUAAACCUUACCAUUUAGAGGAAGGUGAAGUCGUANCA